AGAGUUUGAUCAUGGCUCAGAUUGAACGCUGGCGGCAGGCCUAACACAUGCAAGUCGAGCGGUAGAGAGAAGCUUGCUUCUCUUGAGAGCGGCGGACGGGUGAGUAAUGCCUAGGAAUCUGCCUGGUAGUGGGGGAUAACGUUCGGAAACGGACGCUAAUACCGCAUACGUCCUACGGGAGAAAGCAGGGGACCUUCGGGCCUUGCGCUAUCAGAUGAGCCUAGGUCGGAUUAGCUAGUUGGUGGGGUAAUGGCUCACCAAGGCGACGAUCCGUAACUGGUCUGAGAGGAUGAUCAGUCACACUGGAACUGAGACACGGUCCAGACUCCUACGGGAGGCAGCAGUGGGGAAUAUUGGACAAUGGGCGAAAGCCUGAUCCAGCCAUGCCGCGUGUGUGAAGAAGGUCUUCGGAUUGUAAAGCACUUUAAGUUGGGAGGAAGGGUUGUAGAUUAAUACUCUGCAAUUUUGACGUUACCGACAGAAUAAGCACCGGCUAACUCUG
rnacentral:rRNA from 1 species